rnacentral:rRNA from 1 species
UACGUAGGGGGCAAGCGUUGUCCGGAAUUAUUGGGCGUAAAGAGCUCGUAGGCGGUGUGUCGCGUCGGCCGUGAAAACCUGGGGCUCAACUCUGGGCGUGCGGUCGAUACGGGCAUCACUGGAGUUCGGCAGGGGAGACUGGAAUUCCUGGUGUAGCGGUGAAAUGCGCAGAUAUCAGGAGGAACACCGGUGGCGAAGGCGGGUCUCUGGGCCGAUACUGACGCUGAGGAGCGAAAGCAUGGGUAGCGAACAGG